AACGAACGCUGGCGGCAGGCUUAACACAUGCAAGUCGAGCGACCCGCAAGGGGAGCGGCAGACGGGUGAGUAACGCGUGGGAAUCUACCCAUCUCUACGGAAUAACGCAUGGAAACGUGUGCUAAUACCGUAUACGUCCUUCGGGAGAAAGAUUUAUCGGAGACGGAUGAGCCCGCGUUGGAUUAGCUAGUUGGUGGGGUAAAGGCCUACCAAGGCGACGAUCCAUAGCUGGUCUGAGAGGAGGAUCAGCCACACUGGGACUGAGACACGGCCCAGACUCCUACGGGAGGCAGCAGUGGGGAAUAUUGGGCAAUGGGCGCAAGCCUGCGCCAGCCAUGCCGCGUGAGUGAUGAAGACCCUAGGGUUGUAAAGCUCUUUCACCGGUGAAGAUAAUGACGGUAACCGGAGAAGAAGCCCCGGCUAACUUCGUGCCAGCAGCCGCCGCAGUAA
rnacentral:rRNA from 1 species